AAGCCAAUCACACUACCCAAAACCCCUUUUGUUCUACCCAAAGCUUGUGCAUCAUUACAAGCAUGCAAGAGGCAAAUAUUUGAAGCAAAAGCACUCAAUUUUCUGAAUUGUUAUUCAGCCAUAAAUCCCAACACAUUGCUCCCAAGUUCAUCCAUGAACAAACACUAGAAUCCUCUAAACUUUCAAUAACUAAAACACCUUCUUUUCUCAUUAAAUCUUCUUCAAAAACCCAUCUAAAACUUCUGAAAAUUUAUGUUUAUAAACUCAAAUCUCCCAUAAAAAUAAUCUUCAUCUUAAGAGCUUUCCAUAGACACCAAACUUGAAGAAAUCCACCAAGUAUAGAUUGAAGAGUUGGAGUUGAGGCUUGAAGGGCAAGGAACUGAAGUUAGAACCACUUCUAAAAACGCGUAGGAGCUUACGGAAUAAUUAUAUAGGCUUGGAGUCGAGAGUAAACCCCUAUGGCACCUCGACGGAGAAUGGAUAUGCGAGCGGAAGUUGAACCCGAGUUGGAGUAUGACUCCCCUUUUGUUUAGAUCUCUUUAUUGUAUUUGAGAGACUAUUAGUUUAGAUUUAGACUAUUUUAAGGAUGUAAUUUGAACUUUGGACUUAUUUCGAUUUGGUUGUAAUUUUCCUAUAUUUUAGACAGUUAAGACUUCCGUUA